rnacentral:rRNA from 1 species
AAUGGGCGCAAGCCUGAUCCAGCCAUGCCGCGUGAGUGACGAAGGCCUUAGGGUUGUAAAGCUCUUUCACCGGUGACGAUAAUGACGGUAGCCGGAGAAGAAGCCCCGGCUAACUCCGUGCCAGCAGCCGCGGUAAUACGGAGGGGGCUAGCGUUGUUCGGAAUCACUGGGCGUAAAGCGCGCGUAGGCGGAUGAUCAAGUUGGGGGUGAAAGCCCGGGGCUCAACCCCGGAACGGCCCCCAAAACUGGUGAUCUAGAGUCCGGGAGGGGCAAGUGGAAUUCCCAGUGUAGAGGUGGAAUUCGUAGAUAUUGGGAAGAACACCAGUGGCGAAGGCGGCUUGCUGGACCGGAACUGACGCUGAGGUGCGAAAGCGUGGGGAGCAAACAGGAUU